rnacentral:rRNA from 1 species
GAUGAACGCUGGCGGCGUGCUUAACACAUGCAAGUCGAACGAGGAUUUAACGGAAUGCGAUUCGUCAAAUGAAAUUAAAUCCGAGUGGCGGACGGGUGAGUAACGCGUGGAUAACCUGCCUCACACAGGGGGACAACAGCCGGAAACGGCUGCUAAUACCGCAUAACACAAGUAAUUCGCAUGAAUAACUUGCCAAAGAUUUCAUCGGUGUGAGAUGGAUCCGCGUCUGAUUAGCCAGUUGGCGGGGUAACGGCCCACCAAAGCGACGAUCAGUAGCCGACCUGAGAGGUGACCGGCCACAUUGGGACUGAGACAC